GAUGAAGAACGCAGCGAAAUGCGAUAAGUAAUGUGAAGUGCAGAAUUCAGUGAAUCAUCGAAUCUUUGAACGCACAUUGCGCCCGCCAGUAUUCUGGCGGGCAUGCCUGUUCGAGCGUCAUUACAACCCUCAGGCCCCCGGGCCUGGCGUUGGGGAUCGGCGGAAGCCCCCUGCGGGCACAACGCCGUCCCCCAAAUACAGUGGCGGUCCCGCCGCAGCUUCCAUUGCGUAGUAGCUAACACUUCGCAACUGGAGAGCGGCGCGGCCACGCCGUAAAACACCCAACUUCUGAAUGUUGACCUCGAAUCAGGUAGGAAUACCCGCUGAACUUAAGCAUAUCAAUAAGCGGAGGA
rnacentral:misc_RNA from 1 species